AUUGAAGAGUUUGAUCAUGGCUCAGAUUGAACGCUGGCGGCAGGCCUAACACAUGCAAGUCGAACGGUAACAGGAAGCAGCUUGCUGCUUCGCUGACGAGUGGCGGACGGGUGAGUAAUGUCUGGGAAACUGCCUGAUGGAGGGGGAUAACUACUGGAAACGGUGGCUAAUACCGCAUAACGUCGCAAGACCAAAGAGGGGGACCUUCGGGCCUCUUGCCAUCAGAUGUGCCCAGAUGGGAUUAGCUUGUUGGUGAGGUAACGGCUCACCAAGGCGACGAUCCCUAGCUGGUCUGAGAGGAUGACCAGCCACACUGGAACUGAGACACGGUCCAGACUCCUACGGGAGGCAGCAGUGGGGAAUAUUGCACAAUGGGCGCAAGCCUGAUGCAGCCAUGCCGCGUGUAUGAAGAAGGCCUUCGGGUUGUAAAGUACUUUCAGCGGGGAGGAAGGUGUUGUGGUUAAUAACCGCAGCAAUUGACGUUACCCGCAGAAGAAGCACCGGCUAACUCCGUGCCAGCAGCCGCGGUAAUACGGAGGGUGCAAGCGUUAAUCGGAAUUACUGGGCGUAAAGCGCACGCAGGCGGUCUGUCAAGUCGGAUGUGAAAUCCCCGGGCUCAACCUGGGAACUGCAUUCGAAACUGGCAGGCUUGAGUCUUGUAGAGGGGGGUAGAAUUCCAGGUGUAGCGGUGAAAUGCGUAGAGAUCUGGAGGAAUACCGGUGGCGAAGGCGGCCCCCUGGACAAAGACUGACGCUCAGGUGCGAAAGCGUGGGGAGCAAACAGGAUUAGAUACCCUGGUAGUCCACGCCGUAAACGAUGUCUACUUGGAGGUUGUGCCCUUGAGGCGUGGCUUCCGGAGCUAACGCGUUAAGUAGACCGCCUGGGGAGUACGGCCGCAAGGUUAAAACUCAAAUGAAUUGACGGGGGCCCGCACAAGCGGUGGAGCAUGUGGUUUAAUUCGAUGCAACGCGAAGAACCUUACCUGGUCUUGACAUCCACAGAACUUUCCAGAGAUGGAUUGGUGCCUUCGGGAACUGUGAGACAGGUGCUGCAUGGCUGUCGUCAGCUCGUGUUGUGAAAUGUUGGGUUAAGUCCCGCAACGAGCGCAACCCUUAUCCUUUGUUGCCAGCGGUUAGGCCGGGAACUCAAAGGAGACUGCCAGUGAUAAACUGGAGGAAGGUGGGGAUGACGUCAAGUCAUCAUGGCCCUUACGACCAGGGCUACACACGUGCUACAAUGGCGCAUACAAAGAGAAGCGACCUCGCGAGAGCAAGCGGACCUCAUAAAGUGCGUCGUAGUCCGGAUUGGAGUCUGCAACUCGACUCCAUGAAGUCGGAAUCGCUAGUAAUCGUGGAUCAGAAUGCCACGGUGAAUACGUUCCCGGGCCUUGUACACACCGCCCGUCACACCAUGGGAGUGGGUUGCAAAAGAAGUAGGUAGCUUAACCUUCGGGAGGGCGCUUACCACUUUGUGAUUCAUGACUGGGGUGAAGUCGUAACAAGGUAACCGUAGGGGAACCUGCGGUUGGAUCACCUCCUU
rnacentral:rRNA from 1 species